rnacentral:lncRNA from 10 species
GCUGUGAAUCCAUCUGGUCCUAGAAUUUUUUUGGUUGGUAAUAAGCUCUUAUAUUUGUAAUGCAUAUUAGUCCUUUUAAAAAUGCCCUUCACCUCCUACUUUUUGUGGUAAACACCAUCAUAUUCUUAAAGACCCCUCCCAAAUCUCGCAUUCUUUAUAAGGCCUUCUCUGUGAGUUGCAGGUGGUUUUUCAACCUGUCCCAUAUAUUCCCAUAUAAUCACCCCUAUAAGGGAGCCAUCACCCUACAAGAUAAUUAUUUGUUUAUGUGCCUGGCUCCUCCACUAAAGCUACUUCUGAAUAUGGGCUGCAUCUUAUCCAUCUUUGUGCUUCUGACCUCCACCACCAACAAACAAGGCAUAGCAGACAGCCUGGUAUUGAGUAGCAUGCCAUACACAUCUGUAGACUGAAAAGCAAUUUAGCACGUGUACAAGUUGGGCUCUCCAAGAAGCAGACCUGGAGAGAGAUCCUAGUACAUAGGUAUUUAUUAAGGUGUGCCUUUGAGACCAGUACCUGUGGAUGGGAAGAAUAGAAAUCAGGAGUGGGCAGAGGGAAAAGUUAAGCUGUGAUGUAGGCCCAGUGACAAGCCACUGACACUUCUAUGGGGAGCUGUAAAUAGACCUUUGGCAUUGUCCCAAGUUGGGCCAAUAUGGCCAGGCCUUUACAGGCUCACACAUCAUUUAUUGCUUGUGGGCCACUCCAGGAAGGUGCAUGACUUUGGGUAAGGAGGCUCUCUGGAGCUGAGGUAAUCCCUGAAAGGACUAACAGCUGAAGAUUGUCUGCUGAGAAUACUGCCGAAGACUAAGGCAACAAAUUCUUCCACAUACAGGAUCUGGAUGGCACAUCACAGUGCCCAAAAUAAAGGCUGAACUUAUUUAGUUAUAAUCUGAUCAGUUAGGAAUUGCAAUCAGCUGAGAGUGAGAGAGUCUCCACAACAGUGAUGCAAACUCAUCACAGGCUUUUUCUUUUAACAGGAAUUCCGGAGCAAGGAAGUUAUUGGCAUUCGUUUAGUGUACCACAAUGCUAGGGCUGAGGCCUCCGGGAUCCUCUGGGCCUUUUUCAUGGUUGAAAAAUGACAGUGGCAGCUUCAUUCCUUGUGCCCAGUUCCAGAGAGGAGGAAUGAGAAAGGAGCAAGAAGAAAAGGCUGACAUCUAUGGGAAGCCAAACUUUUUCAGGAAUCCCCUGCUCAGGUUUGCUCAGGCUUGUUUGACAUCUUACUGGUAAGAGCACCAUUGCAUGGCCAGCCCUAGAUUCAAGGGAGGCUGAAAACUGUAAUUUUACAGCUGAAUACUACUGCCUCUCUCUCAUAUGCCCUCAAUGCAGAAUUCUUUCAGUGAAAAAAUAAACAAUGGAAUCGGGUAGGCACUAGAAAUUUCUGCUACAUAAACUCAGGCUGAAGAAUCCAGGUUCAAAAGAAAAAUAAGUGACAUGUAAAAAGAUCAGAUAACAUGGAAACAGGGAAGAUUCAUAAGGUAAUUGCUGUUGUGUAAAGUGACUAUUUCUCACUUAGCACAGCAAAAUUACGCGAAUUAAUAAAGUCUGCCAGAGGAGAUUAAGGAAAGACAAAGGCAUACAACCUGACACAACAGAGAACACGUUGCUGGGACAAAGAAUCAAAGUCAUCUUAAAUUAAAGAGGGCACAGAAGAGAAUAACAGAGAAAAGGCCAAAACAGGAAUAAGACACCACCUGGCAUUAAAACAAAACACCAAGCAUAAAACACAAAGACUGCAACUACUAGUGAGCAGCAGUCCUUAGAAAUUCAGGUGAGAAGUCAAAAAGGCAGCUGGUGGGGCUGCAAGUGUGUUAAAAGUUUGUUGCCAGUGUUCAUAAAAGAAGUUAAAGGUUACAUUUUGAAGAUAGAAAUAGGUUUCCCUAAUGUGGGGAAAGAGGUGUAAAGAGGGCUGUGACACACAGGAGGAACUGCCUUCCCUCACCCGCUCUUUGGGGCACAGCUGUUCGGAGCAGGUCAGAAAAGCUAAGUUGACAAAAAACAUCAGGAGGUGAUAAAGUGAGAACCCUGGAUCCAGAAUGCAGCAAACAAAGAAUGAACAAAAAGUUAAACAGAUUUUAAGAAUUAGAUAAGAAUUAAAUCAAGGUAUAGCCAAAGAGUGGCCAAUAUUAAUUCUAUGAUUAAGAAGGAAAGGACACAGAGGCAAUGUUGAAUGAGCCACUGUGAAUUUUAACUCCAGUCCUGAAGGAAGGCAUGCGGGUGGGGGGUCUCCUUGAGAGGUCAAUUCGUCCAGCCCUCCAUGCAAAUGCCAGUCCCUUGUGUUCUCAGAAAAUGCUAGUAACUUUCCUACCACAACUGCCUUUGAUAGUUUAAUUAUCCCUCAUACUAUAAUUUUUAUUUGAGGGAGGUAGGGCACAUGCAAUGGACAGGAUAUUGAAUAUUCUGCCAAGGGUGCUGAGUUUUAAUUCUGGUUCUGCCACUAACCAAUUUUACAGCCUUGGAAAAAUAACAUCCUCUCUUUUGACCGCAUUUCCUCAUCUGUAAAAUGAAAGAGAUGAACCAUCUCUCUCUUGGUCCUCUUCAUCCUCUACGUUGAUGGAUAAUGAAUGAUGUGUUUUCCUCACAAUAAUCCUUCAUAAGACAGAUCUCAACAAUAACUCACCAGAAUGACACUUUACCUAAUAAUUGCUGUUUGAGAAAUGGACAACCCUAGUUCCUUCAAUCUUUAAUUUUUCUGCAUUUCUACCCAUAAAAUAUAGUAGUAAUGAUAUUCUAAUAAUGAAAACUGCCAAAAAUACAGGAUUUAACAACUUGUAAAGUUUAUUUGUAUAAAUCUUCUCACUUGAUAGUCACAAUAUUCAGAUGAUGGAGGUAGCAAAGAUUUGUUAAUUGUCCCCUGAUGUCAUUUCUUUUGUCUUAAAUAGGUCCCUCAUUUUUUAUCUUGACCCAUGGCCACCUGAAGUAAAGCCUAUCUUUCCCAGCCCCCUACCACAGUUAGGCGUGACACCUCUCUACGUUCUGGCAGAAGCACCGUUACAAUUUUCAGAAAGGCCCUUAAAGAGAGGCAGGCAUGCAUAUCUUUCCUCCUUCCUUUUUCUUUCUGGCUGAAAUGCAGACUGACACGUGGAGCUCAUGUAGAUCUUGAACCACAGGGUAGAACUGCACGUGGAGAAUGGCGAAGCAAAAGGAUAAAGAACCUUGAUUCCUAGUGACUCCAUGCAUCUGCUUUAGCAGGCUCUGGAAUUCUUUAAUAUGUGAAAAAAAUAAAUUUAUGUUUGGUUUCAAUAACUAAUGCUUUUAUUUACUUCACUUGCAGCCCAAAUAAAUUCUAACUGACACAAUUAUAGAAAUUAUUACUUUUAUUUUACAGAUUUAAUAAUUUGCUGAAAAUUUCAAUGGGGCUAAAAUUUGAACAUAGGGCACUUCUGACACCUAAGCCCAACACACUUCCUACUUCUCUCUAAAUAGAUAAUAGUAACCAUUGGCAGGUGUAAGCUGAAAGACAAACCCUAAUGGAACAUCCAUCAGUGAUUAGAACAUCGCAGGAGUAGCUCAUGUUGUCCUCCACAUAGAAAAACAUUCCUAUGACAAAUUAGAGUGAACGACCGUCUCUUUAGAAUUGAGUAGAUAUUGGACACCACCUCUGUAAAGGACUCAUAUUCUCCCCAAAGUAUCUAAGUAAGAACUAGGAGGAAAUCAGAAUGCAGUAUCAGAAAUGUUAGGCAAAUGAUCAAAAAGUACCACGUUACCAAGGUUGCUGUGAGGUGCAUUUCAAAGCCUUUAAGAAAUAAGCCAAGACUUCAAGGGGAAUUUUUUAGGAAAUAGAAAAAGAAGUCCUUAUUUCUCCUCCCACACCCCAUUCUCUCAACCCCUCCAUAUCAGCUCUAGUUCUUUUGGUUUUUGUCUGUUUUCAUUUUUUUAAACACCUGGACAAAUCUUAUCACUUCCAGAAAAUGAAGGGAUGGGGAACUCAACCUUGCUUCUCACUGUGCUGAGUGAGCCCCCAGACUCCACAUUGUUGGCUUAGCUUGUAGUGUUGUGCUCUGACAGCCCUUAGCAGCUGAAGCAUAAAGAAUAGAAAUAAUAUUUCAGGAUUUUAUUAGGACUAUUAAUUUUUUUCUCUUGUAGAUAAAACUCUUCAAUAUUUCUAACAGUAAUACUAUUAUCUUAGUAUAUGAAUGGCACCUAUGAUGCUCAAAACAGCUGUGAUAGCCCAUUCACUAUGAACAGCAGAGAUGGCUGAAGCCCAUUAGUUAGCUCAGCUUUUCAUAACUUAAGAAAAACCUGCCAGCCAUGUAUCCCUCACUUCUACAUAUUUUAUAAUAAUGGAACAUUUUUAGAUAAAAUCAUAAAUAAAAGAUGCUGCUGAGUUUUUGAACAAUGCAUUAUAUGUUUUGUAUUUUAUUUUGACUUUAUUUUUUCACAGCACAAUCAUAACUACAUAGAUGAUUACAGUUGUAUGUUCGGAGAAAAAGAGGAGAGAGAAGACUAAGACUCAUAGGAAAGAAUCCUGCUUUUAUUAAUCAUUCAUACAUAUUUUCAUUUAUGUUUUGAAAGCCAACAACAUACCAGGCUGUCUGUUUGGCACUGUAAGUACCACAAAAGCAUAAUACAAUAGGCCUUUCUCUCAUGGGGCCUGUAGCUUGAAGGUGAAUACAGAUAAUUAAUAAUUAAAGAGUAAAAUAUGCCAUUGUCUACAACAUGAGACAUACAAGGGAACAUAUUUAGGGUUCCUUAAUUUUGUUAAGAAGGAAGGAAGAGCAACAUUUUGUUGUGGGUAGAUAGGGAAGGUUCCUCAAGGAAAUGACAGCUAAGCUAUGACUUGGGGAUGAUAAAAAGAGGGACCUCAGAAGAACACACAGCAUGGGCAACUUUCCAGGAGCCUCUUAGUGGAAUCACAACAGGAUACAAUCCUAGGGCUCACAUGGCUGCCUUACCCAAAACAGGCAAAACACUUCCACUUAUUAAUAAUUUGUUUAUCCACUCAGUUAUGAAAUAUUCACUCAGCAUCUAAUUUUUGCCACACACUGUGCUAAAAUUUUAGAGUUAAAAGGAUGACUAAGAUAUGGUUCCUACCCUCAAGGAGCAACCGGUCUUGUCGACAGAAGCCAUACUUACACAGAUUUACGAUAUGAGGGCUUUAGCUGCUAAUAAUCAGGCACAAAGAGGGCACAAUGUGGUCAUUAAAAGACAAGUGGUUACAAUUUUGAGGUGAGAGGACAAGAAGUUAGUGGGUGAGGGGAUCAAAGAACAGGGAAAGGAAGUCAAGGAGAAAAGUCCAAUAAACUCUGCAUGAACAAGUACACAGCAGGGCUACACCACUUCUUUCUCCCCUUCUCCUUCCUCCUUUUCUUUUCUCCCCCUCCUCUUCCCCUCCUUCUUUUAUAAACAGCCAACUUCCAAACUUCAUUAGUUUUGUUGGGACAUAUUGUUCCCCCGAAACCAGCUUCUUUUAGAUGUUCUGAGAAAGGAUGCUAAUUAAUGAUGGUGCUACCAGAAGGUUUCUAUUUGGAAUUCAUUAGACUCAGGAUAGCAGAUAGCACACUAAGCCACAUUAGAGACGCACAUAGAGCCACUGUCUGGUGGGGGAGUGGAUAGUAAGAUUACUCAGCCUGAAGAAGAGAAGGCUGGAAGGUAAUUCAAUAAUUGUCUUCUAGGUGAACACAAGCUUUUGUUGAACAUCCUCCAUGAAGAGGUCCUACUGAUGUUUAGUGUGAUAAGGGGUGGGGAAAGACAAUAGUUUGGGAAACCAGUUAUUAAGCCACUUUAGUAGUCCAUGGAGAAAGUUCCAAGAGUUCAGAGUAGGGGGAAAAGAGAUAUGAAGGAAUGAAUGAAGAAAACACAUUGCAGAGGUAUAAAGUAAUCCCUGGAUGAAAUAAGAAGGGUAAAGGAGAAAGAACUAGAAACAGAAAAACAUUUAUGACUAUCUCUUCCAAGCUGAUGGUGGCCAACGGUCUUACAAUUCCAUCAACUGAAGAUGGAACAGGAGAAUGACUUCCUGUGCCCUGGAAGGUAAUCUUGGUUAAAAGAUAAGAAUCAGUGGGAUUUGCCCUGAUAAGAAGAGUUGCUGGAAAUUGAAAUAAGAUAUUCUAAGGAUGACUGAGGAGUCUUCUUGGAGAUCUUUAAGAAUAGGGCUGUCUUAUCAGAUUUCAGCACCGAGAAUGCUCUUCAGAAUGCUGAAAACAGCUAGCUGAGCAGAGUUGCUGACAUCUUAACAUCUUUUUCCUCAGCUUUUUAUGCUCACACCCUGGAAGCAUGCGCUAUCCUGCUUCAUUGGGGAAUGAAGUGUAUCAACAUUUUCUGUGGGUCCAGAUAGAGCAGGAAGUAGGAGAACAGUGGGUGAACUAGUCUCAAAAUAACAUACCCUCAUUUCUCUCAACAGUAAUAUCUUCAGUCUGACCGAUACCAACUUCGGUUUUCUUGUGGAAAAAAUAAGGAUGUGCUCCUCCUGGGCAUUCAGAAUCCAGCAGGAACACUAUCGCCUCUAUGAACCCCAUACCAGCCCAGGCUAAGUAAGAUGCUGUGGUAGAUUACAUUUUCCAAAGAUGGCUACACCAAGAUAUAUCCUGCCCCACAUAUCCUUCUUAUACCAUGACACUGACACGUCUCCAUCAAGAGAUGAGAUCCUUGUUCCCCUACCUUGACCUGGGUGGACCUUUGUAACUGCCUCAAACAACAGUGUGACAGAAGUGCAUGACCUCUCAGAUGUAUUUGUCGGGGUUUUCCAGAGAAACAGAAUCAAUAGGAUGUAUGCGUGUGUAUGCAUGUGUGUGCGUGUGUGUGUGUGUAGAGAGAGAGAGAGAAACAGAGAGAAAGAAGGAGAGAGAGAGAGAUUUAUUAUAAGGAAUUAGCUCACAUGAUUAUGGAGACUGGCAGUUCACAAGAUUUGCAAGGGUGAGUCAGUGAAGCUAGAGACCCAGGAGAGCCAAUGGUAUAGGUUCAGUCUGACGACCAGCUGGUCCAAGAACCAGGAGGACUCAAUGUUUCAGUUCAAGUCCAAAGGCAGGAUAAAGCUUAUGUCCCAGUUUGAAGGCAGUUAGGCAGGAGAAAUUCUCUUUUACCUGGGUGAGGGUCAGCCUGUUUGUUCUACUCAGAACUUCAGCUGUUGGAUAAGGUCCACCCACUUUAGGAAGGGCAGUCUGCUUUACUCAGUCUACCAACUUAAAUGUUAAUCUCAUCCAAAAAUACUCUUCUAGAAAUAAUCAGUCACCCUGUGACCUAGUCAAGUUGACACAUAAAAUUGAACAUCACGUAAGACUAAGUAUAAAAAGCAGUAUGACUUCUGUCUGGUUCUCUCUGUCUCUCUCUUUAUCUCUCGGGAUAAUUGACUUGGGAACCCAAACACCAUGUUGUGAGGAAGUUCAGGCCAUAUGAAAAGGCCAUGUCAAGAUAUUCUGGGAAACACCUUUAGCUAGGCCCCCAGUUAAUAUGUCACACAUGUGAGUGAAUGACCCUUCCAAUAAUUUCGUCCCUCAGCCUUCAAAUUUUCUAGCAAAGACUCCAGAUAUCAUGUAGACAAACUAACCUUUAUGUGCCCUGUCUUAAUUCUUCACCCACAGAAAAUGUGAGCAAUAAUACAUGAUUUUUCUUGCUUCAGGCCGCUAAGGUUUGAGGUAAAGUUUUGCACGGUAAUAGAAAAUAAAUAGUGAUACCAUCUUACAUGGUCCUACAUAUCAACUUUUAAUGAAAAGAUAGCUCUUAUCACACUAUGUCAUCAUUCCAUUUACUUUAACUAUUGCAAGAUUGGGAAUUCUCAGAUGGCUAGGACCAUGCCAUCUCAACCUUUUCUCUUUGUUUUCCCAGUCCCAAGGGUGAACAGUGCUUUCUGGAGUUGCUCUUAUUUGCCUUUUCACAUCCUUAAUUCCUAG